UACGUAGGGUGCGAGCGUUGUCCGGAAUUAUUGGGCGUAAAGAGCUCGUAGGCGGUUUGUCGCGUCGACUGUGAAAACCCGAGGCUUAACCUCGGGCCUGCAGUCGAUACGGGCAGACUAGAGUCCGGAAGAGGCGAGUGGAAUUCCUGGUGUAGUGGUGAAAUGCGUAGAUAUCGGGAGGAACACCAGUGGCGAAGGCGACUACCUGGCCUGUUCUUGACGCUGAGGCGCGAAAGCUAGGGGAGCAAACGGG
rnacentral:rRNA from 1 species